rnacentral:rRNA from 1 species
CCAGACUCAUACGGGAGGCAGCAGUGGGGAAUAUUGGACAAUGGGGGCAACCCUGAUCCAGCCAUGCCGCGUGUGUGAAGAAGGCCUUUUGGUUGUAAAGCACUUUAAGCAGGGAGGAGAGGCUAAUGGUUAAUACCCAUUAGAUUAGACGUUACCUGCAGAAUAAGCACCGGCUAACUCUGUGCCAGCAGCCGCGGUAAUACAGAGGGUGCGAGCGUUAAUCGGAAUUACUGGGCGUAAAGCGAGUGUAGGUGGCUCAUUAAGUCACAUGUGAAAUCCCCGGGCUUAACCUGGGAACUGCAUGUGAUACUGGUGGUGCUAGAAUAUGUGAGAGGGAAGUAGAAUUCCAGGUGUAGCGGUGAAAUGCGUAGAGAUCUGGAGGAAUACCGAUGGCGAAGGCAGCUUCCUGGCAUAAUAUUGACACUGAGAUUCGAAAGCGUGGGUAGCAAACAGGAUUAGAUACCCUGGUAGUCCACGCCGUAAACGAUGUCUACUAGCCGUUGGGGUCCUUGAGACUUUAGUGGCGCAGUUAACGCGAUAAGUAGACCGCCUGGGGAGUACGGCCGCAAGGUUAAAACUCAAAUGAAUUGACGGGGGCCCGCACAAG